GAAGGAAAGAAAGUGAGACAGCUAUACUGUACUGUUACUAGCUACUUUUUUAUUAACUUUGAGCGUGCAUCCUGGACCCAUGCAGGUAGUACUAGGUGGGCAGCCAUCUCCUGUCCUGAGAUCUUCGCCUGUUGCUACUGUGGGGAUUCAGCUCUGGUCCCAGAGCCCCCUCCAUUCGCUGAUGUGGUGGUCCAGCCGUCUACUGUCCUGAGAUCUCUGUCCAUUGCUGCUGUGGAGAUCCAGCCGACCACAACUCCUGUACAUGGGGCCUCUCCUGUUGUCGAUGGGGUGGCCUCGCCAUCUGGAGUCCAGAGACCCUCAUUGAGCUCUGCUGCUGCGGACCUGUGGUCUCUAGUCCUGAGAGCUUUGUCGAGAACCUGCGGACAAACCUCAACCAUCUACCGUGCUGAGACCAUCAUCGAGCUCUGCUGCUGUGGCCCAACCUCCUGAUCGGGUCCCUCUGCCUGGGUCCGGCCUGUCCGGUGGCCACCACCCAUUGCUGCUUCGUGGCUCUAGCAGCCCAAGUAUCCAGUCCCAGGGUUCUCUGCGAUCUCUGCUGCUGCAGCCCUGCGGUCUCCAGUCCUGAGACCCUCUUUGAGCUCUGCCGCUGUGGCCUUGCAGUCUCCAGUCCUGGUGUCCUCAGCUGACACCUUUCCAGGGGUCAAUAGGA
rnacentral:lncRNA from 8 species